rnacentral:rRNA from 1 species
AGUGAACGCUGGCGGUAGGCCUAACACAUGCAAGUCGAACGGCAGCACAGGAGAGCUUGCUCUCUGGGUGGCGAGUGGCGGACGGGUGAGGGAUACAUCGGAAUCUACUCUGUCGUGGGGGAUAACGUAGGGAAACUUACGCUAAUACCGCAUACGACCUACGGGGGAAAGCAGGGGACCUUCGGGCCUUGCGCGAUUGAAUGAGCCGAUGUCGGAUUAGCUAGUUGGCGGGGUAAAGGCCCACCAAGGCGACGAUCCGUAGCUGGUCUGAGAGGAUUAUAGGCCUCAAUGGAACUGAGACACGGUCCAGACUCCUGCGGGAGGCAGCAGUGGGGAAUAUUGGACAAUGGGCGCAAGCCGGAUCCAGCCAUACGGCGUGGGUGAAGAAGGCGUUCGGGUUGUAAAGCCCUUUUGUUGGGAAAGAAAUCCAGCUGGCUAAUACCCGGUUGGGAUGACGGUACCCAAAGAAUAAGCACCGGCUAACUUCGUGCCAGCAGCCGCGGUA